UCUCCGUAGGUGAACCUGCGGAGGGAUCAUUACUGAGUGAGGGCCCCCGGCCCGACCUCCAACCCUUUGUGUAUCUCGACCCUGUUGCCUCGGGGGCGACCCGGCCUUCGGGCGUCGGGGCCCCCGGUGGACCCCCCAACCCUGCAUCUAGCCGUCUGAGCUCAGAUACGAACCAAUCAAAACUUUCAACAACGGAUCUCUUGGUUCUGGCAUCGAUGAAGAACGCAGC
rnacentral:misc_RNA from 1 species